rnacentral:rRNA from 1 species
CGUGUAGGCGGAUGGGGACGUCGGUUGUUGAAAGCCCCCGGCUCAACCGGGGAACUGGCGCCGAAACGCCCUGUCUAGAGGAGCGUAGGGGGACCUGGAACUUCCGGUGGAGCGGUGAAAUGCGUUGAGAUCGGAAGGAACGCCCGUGGCGAAAGCGAGGUCCUGGACGUUUUCUGACGCUGAGACGCGAAAGCUAGGGGAGCGAACG